AGUUGGAAAUAGGGCUGAUAAUUUGUUGCUCAACAACCAUUUGUUCCUGAAACCAAAAAAUGAUCGAGUUUCACAAACGAAUUUCAACCGAUUGGCUUCAUUUUGCUGUCAUUACAAAUUCACUCUGUGUGCUGUGAAUAUUUUCGGUCGGUUGAUAAAAUAGGUCACGGAACAAAUUCGGAUAUGUCCUCAGUUCCGAUUAGCAGGAGCUACGUUAAGAAACUCUCCAACACAGAGAAAAGCCGCCCAAAAUGUGUUCUUGUCCAUAAACAACAAGGUCCACAAGGAGAAGACAGAGGUUUACACGAUCGAUCUAUUUCUGAAAAUGGAAAAAAUGGUCUCUCGUUAACCGAUUACACAGUUUCUGUCGCAAAGGAAGCAAGUGCUACACUUGUGGAUGUCGGAAUAAAUGACAAAAAUACAGAUAACUUGGGGCAAAAGUUUGGGCCAUGCAUGGAUAAGUAGUUUUUCCCUGCACAGCAUAAUCUCAAGGAUGUAUGGAAUAAUUAUUUUUGCUUGGCCAGUAAAAAAAAAAGUCUAAUCAAAGAACUUUUACUUCUGUUGGAAAGAAAAAAUUGUACAUAAGAGUCUGAUACACCUACACAGCCUUUUAUACAAUAUUUGUUUCAAAUUUUUUUUAUAUUCUUCUGUUUACAAGAAUCAUUAAUAUGUACAGAAGCUUUUACUCUCCAGCAGGGGCUGCAUAAAACAUGAUUAACAGUUCUUAUGUGUAAGUUUCGAACUAAAACCAUAUGCUACUGGACAAUUAACUCUAGAUUAUAUUAGACCUGAUCAUGCUUCCUACGCAGCCAGGAUUUAGAUAUAUUUACUCAGCAAAGUUUGAUAAAAUUUAGUAUACAAAGACAAAGAGAUCAAAUUUAUUUUGUGAUUGCCAAUGAAAUAAAUUCCCUUUCAUCAUGUUUGCCCAGUUGUUAACAUAAAUUUUAUACCAUGUCAUAGCCACUUUAUUAUUAUUUGUUAUCAACCACAAAUUCCUUGGUAUUCUUAUUCCUUGAACCCAAAAGAGCUAUCUCACUGUUUGUAUGUCUUAGAAAAUCAGGGUUGGAUUGGACUUGUGUUUGAAGUAUUUUUUAAUUUAACCAGUCCAACCUAUUUUUGCAUGGACACAACCCAUUCUUGGCUGGACAAACAUCCAUAACAUAUCAUAUCUCAAUGAAUGUACUCCCUGUUAUAAUUUAUUACAUUCAAUAUAGGGCUUUAACUAUUAAAAUAUUCUAAAGUGCUGUAGAAUAUUAAAAGCAUUCUUAAGAAAAAAGAUAAGUCUUCAACUGUACUUUAAAAAAGUCAAAGUUCAUAUAGUAUCUGAGGCUAGAUGGCAUAAAUAGUACUAGUAAUAGAUCACUUUCAUAAAUGGCUGCCGGAUUAAUAUUCUUUUGUUUAAAUUUAAAUUUUCCCCAGAGGCC